rnacentral:rRNA from 1 species
GAUGAACGCUGGCGGCGUGCCUAAUACAUGCAAGUCGAGCGAACGGACGAGAAGCUUGCUUCUCUGAUGUUAGCGGCGGACGGGUGAGUAACACGUGGAUAACCUACCUAUCCGACUGGGAUAACUUCGGGAAACAGGAGCUAAUACCGGAUAAUAUUUUGAACCGCAUGGUUCAAAAGUAAAAGACGGUCUUGCUGUCACUUAUAGAUGGAUCCGCGCUGCAUUAGCUAGUUGGUAAGGUAACGGCUUACCAAGGCAACGAUGCAUAGCCGACCUGAGAGGGUGAUCGCCCAGAUUGGAAGAGAGACACGGUCCCGACUCCGACGGGAGGAAGCAGUAGGGAAUCUUACGCAAUGGGGGAAAGGCGGAUGGAGCAACGCCGGGUGAGUGAUGAAGGUCUUAGGAUCGGAAAACUCUGUUAGUAGGGGAGAAGAAAUGUGUAAGUAACUGUGAAGAUAAUGACGGUACCGAGACAGAAAGCCACGGCUAACUACGUG